rnacentral:piRNA from 1 species
UUAAAAAUGAGUAUUAAGUGCAGUAA